rnacentral:misc_RNA from 1 species
GAUAGAACGUAGCAAAAUGCGAUAAGUAAUGUGAAUUGCAGAAUUCAGUGAAUCAUCGAAUCUUUGAACGCACAUUGCGCCCGCCAGUAUUCUGGCGGGCAUGCCUGUUCGAGCGUCAUUUCAACCCUCAAGCACAGCUUGGUGUUGGGACUCGCGUUAAUUCGCGUUCCUCAAAUUGAUUGGCGGUCACGUCGAGCUUCCAUAGCGUAGUAGUAAAACCCUCGUUACUGGUAAUCGUCGCGGCCACGCCGUUAAACCCCAACUUCUGAAUGUUGACCUCGGAUCAGGUAGGAAUACCCGCUGAACUUAAGCAUAUCAAUAAGCGGAGGA